CCUACGGGAGGCAGCAGUGGGGAAUAUUGCACAAUGGGCGGAAGCCUGAUGCAGCGACGCCGCGUGAGGGAUGACGGCCUUCGGGUUGUAAACCUCUUUCAGUAGGGAAGAAGCGUAAGUGACGGUACCUGCAGAAGAAGCGCCGGCUAACUACGUGCCAGCAGCCGCGGUAAUACGUAGGGCGCAAGCGUUAUCCGGAAUUAUUGGGCGUAAAGAGCUCGUAGGCGGUUUGUCGCGUCUGCUGUGAAAGACCGGGGCUCAACUCCGGUUCUGCAGUGGGUACGGGCAGACUAGAGUGAUGUAGGGGAGACUGGAAUUCCUGGUGUAGCGGUGAAAUGCGCAGAUAUCAGGAGGAACACCGAUGGCGAAGGCAGGUCUCUGGGCAUUAACUGACGCUGAGGAGCGAAAGCAUGGGGAGCGAACAGGAUUAGAUACCCUGGUAGUCCAUGCCGUAAACGUUGGGCACUAGGUGUGGGGGACGAUUCCACGUUUUCCGCGCCGUAGCUAACGCAUUAAGUGCCCCGCCUGGGGAGUACGGCCGCAAGGCUAAAACUCAAAUGAAUUGACGGCUGAAGCGNGCGAGACGACACGAGGAGAGG
rnacentral:rRNA from 1 species